GCUCAGUAACACGUGGACAACCUACCCUUGGGACGGGGAUAAACCCGGGAAACUGGGUAUAAUACCCGAUAGUUCUGGGAUGCUGGAAUGCGCCCAGGGCGAAAGCUCCGGUGCCCAAGGAUGGGUCUGCGGCCUAUCAGGUAGUAGUGGGUGUAAUGUACCUACUAGCCGACGACGGGUACGGGUUGUGAGAGCAAGAGCCCGGAGAUGGAUUCUGAGACACGAAUCCAGGCCCUACGGGGUGCAGCAGGCGCGAAAACUUUACUAUGCUGGCAACAGCGAUAAGGGGACCUCGAGUGCCAGGNUACAAUCUUGGCUGUCGCGAUGCCUAAAAAGCAUUGCAUAGCAAGGGCCGGGCAAGACCGGUGCCAGCCGCCGCGGUAACACCGGCGGCUCGAGUGGUAACCGCUAUUAUUGGGUCUAAAGGGUCUGUAGCCGGCCGGAUAAGUCUCUUGGGAAAUCCAGCUGCUCAACAGUUGGGCUUUCAGGAGACACUGUUUCGGCUCGAGGCCGGGAGAGGUGAGAGGUACUUCAGGGGUAGGGGUGAAAUCUUGUAAUCCUUGAAGGACCACCAGUGGCGAAGGCGUCUCACCAGAACGGACCUGACGGCAAGGGACGAAAGCUAGGGGCACGAACCGGAUUAGAUACCCGGGUAGUCCUAGCCGUAAACGAUACUCGCUAGGUGUCGGCCACGGUGCGACCGUGGUCGGUGCCGUAGGGAAGCCGUGAAGCGAGCCACCUGGGAAGUACGGCCGCAAGGCUGAAACUUAAAGGAAUUGGCGGGGGAGCAC
rnacentral:rRNA from 1 species